rnacentral:rRNA from 1 species
GACAGAGGGUGCGAACGUUGUUCGGAAUUACUGGGCGUAAAGCGCAUGUAGGCGGCAACGUAAGUCGGGCGUGAAAUCCCACGGCUCAACCGUGGAAGUGCACUCGAAACUGCGUAGCUAGAGUCCUGGAGAGGAAGGUGGAAUGCUUGGUGUAGAGGUGAAAUUCGUAGAUAUCAAGCGGAACACCGGUGGCGAAGGCGGCCUUCUGGACAGUGACUGACGCUGAGAUGCGAAAGCGUGGGGAGCAAACAGG